rnacentral:rRNA from 1 species
GUUGUCCGGAUUUUGGGCGUAAAGGGCUUGUAGGCGGUUGGUCGCGUCUGCCGUGAAAUCCUCUGGCUUAACUGGGGGCGUGCGGUGGGUACGGGCUGACUUGAGUGCGGUAGGGGAGACUGGAACUCCUGGUGUAGCGGUGGAAUGCGCAGAUAUCAGGAAGAACACCGGUGGCGAAGGCGGGUCUCUGGGCCGUUACUGACGCUGAGGAGCGAAAGCGUGGGGAGCGAACAGGAUUAGAUACCCUGGUAGUCCACGCUGUAAACGUUGGGCACUAGGUGUGGGGGCCACCCGUGGUUUCUGCGCCGUAGCUAACGCUUUAAGUGCCCCGCCUGGGGAGUACGGCCGCAAGGCUAAAACUCAAAGGAAUUGACGGGGGCCCGCACAAGCGGCGGAGCAUGCGGAUUAAUUCGAUGCAACGCGAAGAACCUUACCAAGGCUUGACAUGCACGGCGACACUGCAGAGAUGUGGUGGCAUUUAGUUGGUCGUGUGCAGGUGGUGCAUGGUUGUCGUCAGCUCGUGUCGUGAG